GGUUGUGGCUCAGCAACAGAGCAUCUGCUUUGCAUGCAGAAGGUCCCAGGUUCAAUCCCCAGGUAGGGCUG